GACGAACGCUGGCGGCGUGCCUAAUACAUGCAAGUUGAGCGCUGAAGGUUGGUACUUGUACCAACUGGAUGAGCAGCGAACGGGUGAGUAACGCGUGGGGAAUCUGCCUUUGAGCGGGGGACAACAUGUGGAAACGAAUGCUAAUACCGCAUAAAAACUUUAAACACAAGUUUUAAGUUUGAAAGAUGCAAUUGCAUCACUCAAAGAUGAUCCCGCGUUGUAUUAGCUAGGUGGUGAGGUAAAGGCUCACCAAGGCGAUGAUAUAUAGCCGACCUGAGAGGGUGAUUGGCCAGCUUGGGACGGAGACACGGCCCAAACGGCUACGGGAGGCAGCAGGAGGGAUUCUUCGGCCAUCGACGAAAGUCUGACCGCGCAACGCCGCGUGAGGGAAGAAGGUUGUCGGAUCGUAAAACUCGGUUGGUAGAGAAGAACGUUGGUGAGAGUGGAAAGCUCAUCAAGUGACGGUAACUACUCAGAAAGGGACGGCUAACUACGUG
rnacentral:rRNA from 1 species